rnacentral:rRNA from 1 species
UACGAAGGGGGCUAGCGUUGUUCGGAUUCAUUGGGCGUAAAGGGUGCGUAGGCGGCGCGGUAAGUCGGGUGUGAAAUCUUGGAGCUUAACUCCGAAACUGCAUUCGAUACUGCCGUGCUUGAGGACUGGAGAGGAGACUGGAAUUUACGGUGUAGCGGUGAAAUGCGUAGAUAUCGUAAGGAAGACCAGUGGCGAAGGCGGGU